GGAGCUGUGUCUGAAUUAGGAGUCACUUUGAUAGAGUGAAAUAUGUGGGUGAAAACCCCACCAACUCCU
rnacentral:tRNA from 1 species